rnacentral:tRNA from 3 species
GGGGGUAUAGCUCAGUUGGGAGAGCACCUGCCUUGCAAGCAGGGGGUCAAGGGUUCGAAUCCCUUUAUCUCCAC